AGUGCCUGUUAAGCAGGUGGGGAAAGAAUCAGAUCAAUGCAAGGAACACGAUGUGUGUGAGGCUCCCUCAUAGGGCCUGUAGACCUGCCCGUGCUCCCAGAUGCUCGGACGAGGCUGGAAUCCUAAGGCCUCCGAGGAGAACGGCUUGGCCCAAAGACAGAGGUGGUGGCUUUUCCCAUGCUGGGGUGAUUUUAGGGGAAGGGGACCUUCCUUAUGGAUGUAUCCUUUAGAUCCAGAUUGUCUGCUAUGAAACACGCCUGAAGAGCCAGCAUUAAAUCAUUGUUCUGAGGUCCUCACUCUGUCUGGAGUCCUUUCUCCAAACAAAUAUGCCUGCAAGAAGGAAACCACCAGAGCGACGGGCCGUCUUCCUGGAAGGCAGCAGAGAAUGGCCCUUGUGGGCCUGGGGAGGAGUAGGGGGAACUGAAAGGGGGGCAUGAGGGCCUCAGUGUUCUUCCCAAGACGUCUGGGGGAGUAUAUUUGAUUGGAUGCUAUCUGUGUUGUCAUCUCUGCUGGGUUUUCCUGCUCUUCUCUGCUAGUAUCUGACGGAGAACAGAAAAGGAUGACGGAGAAGGGGGCGUGGGCGGAUGGGGGCGGAGGAGGGAGCGUCUGCCUAGCUUGGGUAGAGAGGGAAGGUCUCACCUGGCACACAUGUGUGCACAGGCACACACACACACACACACACACACACACACACACACACACACCCUGCACCAUUUCGAGAGAAUAACAGUGCCACCUGCUGGUUCUUUCUGUGCAAAGACGUCUCCACACCUUCCCUGAGGAGGCGGCGGCCCAGAAAGUGAGCCAAGCCGUGAAUGUGCCUUACAGCGUUCCCGGCGGUGCUCCGGGCCAGAGAGACAAGACUCCGCGCACAGACUCCCUGCGGAAAGUCUGGCUUCUCGGUGUCUUAGAACCCUGGCAUUGUCCUUCUAGCAACAGGCUUGAGGAGCAGAGGUGUGGUCUCUCCAGUAACAGCUCAUCUGGCUCUGUUGUAAUUAAACAAAGUGACAUCCGUCUGCAACACUGAGUCCCCACCCCCA